UCUAUGUUUCUAUGAUAUGAUGCCAGUAAGGCAUUUUAUAUGAUCUGCUAGAGCAGCUCUUCUGUUGAUGAUUGGAUGUAACAUGAAAAUUGCUCUUCUUCUUGUGUUUUUUCUUCAGCUUUCUAGCAGGAGCCCUAGCUCAAACUGCAUCUCUUGAGAAAGACAUUUUGAAAACACACCAGCUUUAAGAAGGACAAGGACCACAUGUCUACCAGAUAGCCUCCAAG